CCGGCUUCCCUCGGCGAUGGACGGCUGGAGCGGCGCGGGAUAGCGGGGCCACGGCUUCCACGACGACGACGGCUACGGCGACGAGGACGUCUUCGGCGACGGAGGAGACACGAGGGACUUCCUCUCCCAGCCGUCGGGAUUCAACUCCCAUUCCUCGGCAUUCAACGGCACCGGGUACCCCUACCACACCUCGAGCUCCAGUAACCCUAACCGGUUGGGGAUGGCGGCGUUGGAUCUCAACUCCGGCGAAGGGUGGCCAGGCCUCGGUUCCUACGAGGGUCUCCUUCGUUCGGGGACUGAAGACACGGACUUUGGGAGCACUCAAGCCCCUCCCCUUUUCCGCCCGCCUCCCCGUAGCGGCAGAGGCACCCUCGGCUUGCGCGGUGGUCGCGGCGGUGUCGGCCGAGGUGGAGCUACGCUUGGUCGCGGCGGCUCCCCAUCCCUUGGUGGCGGACGCAUCCCUCCCCGUGGUGCUGCAUGAGGAUCCUCCGGCGGAUCCAGGGGACGCGGUACGCCUCCGCGCAGCAACCCACCUCCUCCGACCUUCGAUGCAGAGGACGAGAACUCAUACGCUCAAGUCCCGGAUAGGAAAGACAAGGCACACUGGGGCUCUGAAAACACCAACAAGUUGUGUGAGAUAUACUGCAACCAGAUUGACAAUGGGAAUUGUGUUAAGGGUGUCAUGAGCAAAAGUGGGUGGAGGGAUAUCAUAGAGAGGUACUAUGCGGCCACAGGUUUAGUUCAUGAUAACGAGCAGUUUGGCAAUAGGAUAAGACAGUUGAGGAAUAUGUGGACAUUCAUUCAGAAACUUCGGAAAGGAACAGGUUUGGGACGGAGACCUGAUGGAUCUGUUAUAGCUUCAGAUGAUUGGUGGAAAUAAAACACUCAGGGAAAACCAGAAUGGAAGAAAUUGAAGAAUGGGUGGCCUCCGUACCUAGAAGAAAUGGACCGCAUGUUCCUAGGGGUUGCAGUGGACGGCUCUUCUGCUUACGCUCCUGGUCAAGGAGCUCCCAGUGCGUACAAUAUAAGUGAUGAUGAGCACGAAGGAGAUGAAGCCGAGGAGCAGUUAACCCCGCUGAGCAUUGGGACAAAGAGGGCCAGCACACCUAGCGCACGCAGCACUGGUUCCAGCCCAAACAAGAAGACAAGGAGUCCUGCAGUUAGAGCCAUGGAUAACAACAUGAGGGACUUCAAUGUAAUUCAAGAGAACAGGAAUGCCAUGCUGCAGACCAUCUGGGAAAGAAGGCAGAAGGAAGCUGCAGAAAAGAAGUCUGCUGAGGAAGUGAGGAUUGAGUAUGUCCAGCAGCUAGCCAGAGAAUGUGGUGCAACUGAGGAGGACACGAAGCUAUGGAUUGGGGUCCUGAAGAUCAUCCUGUCUGAGAAAGCAAUGAAGUUCUUCAUAUCAACAAAGCCAGAAGGAAGGCUUGGCAUCAUCAAGCACUAUGCCGGGGUCGAUAACUAGACCCUCCUAUCUAUGCAUUCGUUUAGUUAAUUAGGUGUUGGACUACGUAUGCCAUUGAUGUAUUCGAAUUGAACUAUGUAUGUUGUGAUGUCUGUAUGACUGUUGUUUGUUGUCUUUGAUGAUGAAUGAAUGUAGCGAGACCUUCCUAUC